GGAAUGACUCUCGGCAACGGAUAUCUAGGCUCUUGCAUCGAUGAAGAACGUAGCGAAAUGCGAUACUUGGUGUGAAUUGCAGAAUCCCGUGAACCAUCGAGUCUUUGAACGCAAGUUGCGCCCGAAGCCAUUAGGCUGAGGGCACGUCUGCCUGGGCGUCACAGA
rnacentral:rRNA from 2 species